rnacentral:snRNA from 1 species
AUCGCUUCUCGGCCUUUUGGCUAAGAUCAAGUGUAAUAUAUGGCUUAACAGAAGUCAACCGGAUUCUCAUAUCUGCUUCUGCAUUCACUCUAUGGCAAUAUGCUAUUGUGACUGAAGUAUACGAAGGAAAUCGAGCCUCCCACGUAUAUGCAACUGCU